rnacentral:rRNA from 1 species
CAGCCGCCGCGGUAAUACGUAGGGUGCAAGCGUUAAUCGGAUUUACUGGGCGUAAAGCGUGCGUAGGCGGCUUUUUAAGUCGGAUGUGAAAUCCCUGAGCUUAACUUAGGAAUUGCAUUCGAUACUGGGAAGCUAGAGUAUGGGAGAGGAUGGUAGAAUUCCAGGUGUAGCGGUGAAAUGCGUAGAGAUCUGGAGGAAUACCGAUGGCGAAGGCAGCCAUCUGGCCUAAUACUGACGCUGAGGUACGAAAGCAUGGGGAGCAAACAGGAUUAGAUACCCCGGUAGUCCCUGUCUCUUAUAC